rnacentral:rRNA from 1 species
ACACAUGCAGUCGAGCGCACCUUCGGGUGAGCGGCGGACGGGUGAGUAACGCGUGGGAACGUACCCAGAUCUGCGGAAUAGCCACUGGAAACGGUGAGUAAUACCGCAUACGCCCUUCGGGGGAAAGAUUUAUCGGAUUUGGAUCGGCCCGCGUUAGAUUAGAUAGUUGGUGGGGUAAUGGCCUACCAAGUCUACGAUCUAUAGCUGGUUUUAGAGGAUGAUCAGCCACACUGGGACUGAGACACGGCCCAGACUCCUACGGGAGGCAGCAGUGGGGAAUCUUAGACAAUGGGCGCAAGCCUGAUCUAGCCAUGCCGCGUGAGUGAUGAAGGCCUUAGGGUCGUAAAGCUCUUUCGCCAGGGAUGAUAAUGACAGUACCUGGUAAAGAAACCCCGGCUAACUCCGUGCCAGCAGCCGCGGUAAUACGGAGGGGGUUAGCGUUGUUCGGAAUUACUGGGCGUAAAGCGCGCGUAGGCGGACUAUUAAGUCAGGGGUGAAAUCCCGGGGCUCAACCCCGGAACUGCCCUUGAUACUGGUAGUCUUGAGUUCGAGAGAGGUGAGUGGAACUCCGAGUGUAGAGGUGAAAUUCGUAGAUAUUCGGAAGAACACCAGUGGCGAAGGCGGCUCACUGGCUCGAUACUGACGCUGAGGUGCGAAAGUGUGGGGAGCAAACAGGAUUAGAUACCCUGGUAGUCCACACCGUAAACGAUGAAUGCCAGUCGUCGGGUAGCAUGCUAUUCGGUGACACACCUAACGGAUUAAGCAUUCCGCCUGGGGAGUACGGUCGCAAGAUUAAAACU